rnacentral:rRNA from 1 species
AGAGUUUGAUCCUGGCUCAGAUUGAACGCUGGCGGCAGGCUUAACACAUGCAAGUCGAGCGGGCGAGGUUGCUUCGGUAACUGAGCUAGCGGCGGACGGGUGAGUAAAGCUUAGGAAUCUGCCUAUUAGUGGGGGACAACAUUUCGAAAGGGAUGCUAAUACCGCAUACGUCCUACGGGAGAAAGCAGGGGAUCACUUGUGACCUUGCGCUAAUAGAUGAGCCUAAGUCGGAUUAGCUAGUUGGUGGGGUAAAGGCCUACCAAGGCGACGAUCUGUAGCGGGUCUGAGAGGAUGAUCCGCCACACUGGGACUGUGACACGGCCCAGACUCCUACGGGAGGCAGCAGUGGGGAAUAUUGGACAAUGGGGGGAACCCUGAUCCAGCCAUGCCGCGUGUGUGAAGAAGGCCUUUUGGUUGUAAAGCACUUUAAGCGAGGAGGAGGCUCUCUUGGUUAAUACCUGAGAAGAGUGGACGUUACUCGCAGAAUAAGCACCGGCUAACUCUGUGCCAGCAGCCGCGGUAAUACAGAGGGUGCGAGCGUUAAUCGGAUUUACUGGGCGUAAAGCGCGCGUAGGUGGUUAAUUAAGUCAAAUGUGAAAUCCCCGAGCUUAACUUGGGAAUUGCAUUCGAUACUGGUUAGCUAGAGUAUGGGAGAGGAUGGUAGAAUUCCAGGUGUAGCGGUGAAAUGCGUAGAGAUCUGGGGGAAUACCGAUGGCGAAGGCAGCCAUCUGGCCUGAUACUGACACUGAGGUGCGAAAGCAUGGGGAGCAAACAGGAUUAAAUACCCUGGUAGUCCAUGCCGUAAACCAUGUCUACUAACUGUUGGGGGGAUUGAUCCUUUAGUGGCGCAGCUAACGCAAUAAGUAAACCGCCCGGGGGAGAACGGUCGCAAGACUAAAAUUUAAAUGAAAUUGAGGGGGGCCCGCCCAAACGGUGGA